GGUUGUAGCUCAGUGGUAGAGUGCUUGCCUAGCAUGUGGGAGGCACUGGGUUUGAUUCUCAGCACCA
rnacentral:tRNA from 1 species